GAGAUGCCAAUGAUGGUGUUAAAUAUACUUUGAGAUUAUUUUCUAUGAAAAGAACUUCAUCUGAGGCAUCAA